AUCCUGUGCUCACGUUGGGGUGAAGCGAGGAGUAACUCCACUGCAGCAAACAGAGCUUUGCCAAGGUGAAAUUUCUGUGGAAGACGAAUGAGCCCUUUGUUUUAAUAUUAGCUUAUAAAGCCUGUGCACAGCUCCAGCACAGCGCUCUGGUUUUAAUUAAUAAGAAUUAGCAUAUACAUCUACAUACACUCUUUUUUUUCCCUUUGCGGGCUCGGCUACUUUGAAGAAAACCUCUUUGUAUGUCUUCCUGAUUAUUCUAUAUCUCGACAUUAAAAAACCCCAAACGAAUAAAACCCCCAAACUAAAGUAACAUCAAACUCCCACGCAAACAAAAGGCUUAGCUGCUGCCGGUGGCAGGGAGUGCUGGGAGCAGCCCUUCCCGCCUGCCGAGAGGAGCCGGCUUCCAGCCCAUGCUCCUCGCUGCUGGGGAGCCAUCCAAUUCCCAGCCCGCCGUCCCUUCCUCCGCCUUUGCACAAUCCCACUGCAGUGACUUCCCAGUCCUAAUUGGAGCCUCUGGGCAUUAUUGUAUUAUUAUUAUUUAAUAAACAACCACAUAAAACACUGGUUGGCAUUUAAAUAAGAGUAAAGAAAGGAAAGCUCUGACUCCUAGACUGUUUUGUUUUCCUGUUGACUUGGGUGGAAGCAGGAGCAGGUUUUCUAAACAAUACCCGCACUCGCUCGACGCAUGCUUACCUUUAAUGUUUUAGAAAAGGCACUGCUAACAUGGGCCCGGUGUGGAUGAGAGGGCCAGACCUACUGCAGUUGUCAAUCCCUGUUGCAACAUAAGCUGUAAAUAUAGAGCCGUAACCUGGACAUUCCCAAGUAAAAUACACUAACGGCUUGUCUUGCCUAAGCUACUAAUCCUUGCCUAAGCAAAGAUUCAGCAUCAUUUUCUGCAUUGUUACCCCCAGCAUGUCCUUUCGAGUGGUUAUCCGAAAUGUGCAGCUGUCAGGAUGCUAUUAAGAAUAAAUGGAAAGAUAGUUUUAUUUUUGCAUUUGAUCGUAUGUUUGAGACAUUUCAGAGCGAGAGUUAUCAUGACAAAAGAAAACGUGGUGUCCUUGAAGUGAACGCAGAGGAGCACAACUCGUUCAAUAAGGUUUUGAAAGAAAACAAAGAGCUGAAGGCCAGAACUGACUCCUUUAGAAACAAGUAUAAAACAAGACAGGAUUCGAAGUGCUUAAAAUACUUUGGUGACAAGCAACAAAGAAGCGUCUGUUACUAGAAUUGAUUGAAUUAAGGAAAGGGAGAGAAAAUCUUGAGAACUUUUUGAGAACUAGAGAUUUGAUGUGUGGGGAGUAUAAGAACAAUAUUCUCCCGGGCCAUGACCGGAGCUCUGAAUCGGCAUAACUCUUUUCCUUGAAGAAAGUGAAAACUAGACAAGAAGCUCAGUCUGAGUGGUUUAUUCAUGGAAAAUCAGAAGACAGUCUUCAAAAUGGCCACUUGACCGAAGAAGCUGGGCUGGGAGCAUUUGUAUCUUCCCAUUUGAAAACUUUGCCUGUUUCUUUCUCCUGCAGAGUACCUGGCAACACUGAUCCACUCGCUUUGCCAGCUGAAGACUGCCCGGUCAGCUCUGCCAGAAGCCUGGGGUCACGGAGCAGGAGACAGACUGUGGCACUGUGCUGCAAGGAAGGGAAGCAUGGACUUAGUUUUGUGGAGGCUGCAAGGAGGGAGCAGUCUGGUGAGUAUUUGCACAGACACUGCAUCCAGUCUGGUAGGCAGAAGAAGAAACGCACCCUCCUUAUUUAUAGGAAGAUGGAGGUUGCUAUGCUAGGCCAAACUGAUUAAGUCUGGUAUCCUGCUUCAGACAAUGAUGCACACUGGCUGCUAGAGGAGGUGCAAGAAAUGCUGUAGUAAAACAAAGAUAAAAUCACUCAACAUGGACAUGUCUCACUGUCCUAUGGAUAUCUAGGUCACUAGUUAACUGUGUCAACAACUAGUGACCAGCAUGAGAUAGGAAGGAGGAAAGCUUUACGCUGAACUAUUCCAGUUGGUGUCCUACAUGAUUCCUCUUACUUGGCUGAAACAAAAAUGAAGAAAGAAUGAUACCCCCCCGUUCUGUUUCUUCUGAAAUAUAUGACAAACCCUGUAUUGUUCUCAAAGGUGCAGGAUCAAACCUGUCAUUAUCUCACCCAGAGUGCAAUAAAUGUCAUGACUAAGAGUUAACAGUGCAUCAAAAAUUAUCAUCUCUAAGUCUUGUUGGCAGGCUUUACAUGAACCGAACCAGGUUGUCAACUGCCUUCUUCAAUGACAACUGAUUAUAUUACAAAGAACGGCAACAGCAAGGCAUUUAUUUUUCAUUUUUAGGAAUUUGAAUGAGGAGAUCUCAUUACCCAGAAUCAGGAUGCAUCUUGCUCAGUGGAUAAAAUAACAAAUGGAUUCUUCAAAUCCCUAAUUCACAAGCAUUUCAGAGCGAGAUAGUUCAGCAGCAUAAGAAAGAUGUACUAUUCCUAGAAAUCUCCUGACUCAACUCCUGUCCUGUAUCUGUCAGUGAUUCAACAGCAUGGCAGUUAUAAUUGAGCAAAAACAUACUUCUGUUAGCAAACAGGAAGAAGCUGGGCAGGAGCACCAAGAUGGCAAUGGGCUGUGUGGGUGCCAAGGUGGGGGGUCACACCUGGUCAGGGCUGUGAGAUCAGUGAUAUGGGUAAGGUGAUCAGGCUUGCAGAGGGAAAAUCCGAGUUGCCUGUCACUGUGCGGUGAUAAGAAAGGAGGAUGCACAAGGAGGAUGAUAAGCUUGAUGGGCACUUAACAAGGCAAAGCUGAUAAGCCUGAUGGGCACUUAACAAGGCAAAAAUGAGAUACAACAGUGCUUCAUUUCUGUUUCUUUAACUAGUAAUACUCUUACCUUUUCCUUUGCAUUGAAUACUUUGUAUAAGAAAGCACUGGCUGCAGCACUUAGACAUAUAGUCUAUAGACUUCUGUAGAUUUACAGACAUUGUGUGACAUGGUUGGAGAGAGGGUGGAUUAUCAGCAGGUAGCCAGCAGCCUGGGGAGAGGUUCUUGAGAUUUGUGUGCUUCCAUGUGCAUCUUCUCAACCUCACCUGCUCAGUUGGAGAUUUGGAAAAAACCAGGACUGUGCUCUAUUUAUGAAAGUGAUAGUGACAUCAGGACAAAAAUACAUCAUCCACGUAGUUCCUGAAGCUAGAGAUUACUCACAGGAUAUUGCUAGGGCAUCAGAUAAAGAUUUUAACAAGUGGGUGUAAAAAUUUCAUCACAAGUCUGUCUUUAGGAACCCAAGGAGCUGCUCCUAUUUUCAAAAGUGUGGAAUCACUGACAACUUCAGCAGCUUUCUUCCUCCUGAUCUUAUUUUGUGAAUGGAUUAGGGCUCAGUUGUUCAGGCUU